rnacentral:rRNA from 1 species
UACGAAGGGGGCUAGCGUUGUUCGGAUUUACUGGGCGUAAAGCGCACGUAGGCGGGUCGUUAAGUCAGGGGUGAAAUCCCGGAGCUCAACUCCGGAACUGCCUUUGAUACUGGCGACCUUGAGGCUGGAAGAGGUUAGUGGAAUUCCUAGUGUAGAGGUGAAAUUCGUAGAUAUUAGGAAGAACACCAGUGGCGAAGGCGGCUCACUGGCCCGGUACUGACGCUGAGGCGCGAAAGCGUGGGGAGCAAACAGG